rnacentral:rRNA from 1 species
GUUGGUGACGCGGAGGGACAUUAUUAGAAGCCGAAAGGCUACUUAAAACCAUCGCGAACUCGUCCAAGUUGCUUCGGCGGCGCGGCCUCCCUCACGGGGGCGCCGCAGCCCCGCCUCUCCGGAGGUGUGGGGCGCCCGCCGGAGGUACGAAACUCUGUAUUAUAGUGGCAUCUCUGAGUAAAAAACAAAUAAGUUAAAACUUUCAACAACGGAUCUCUUGGUUCUGGCAUCGAUGAAGAACGCAGCGAAAUGCGAUAAGUAAUGUGAAUUGCAGAAUUCAGUGAAUCAUCGAAUCUUUGAACGCACAUUGCGCCCGCUAGUACUCUAGCGGGCAUGCCUGUUCGAGCGUCAUUUCAACCCUCAAGCCCUGCUUGGUGUUGGGGCCCUACGGCUGCCGUAGGCCCUGAAAGGAAGUGGCGGGCUCGCUACAACUCCGAGCGUAGUAAUUCAUUAUCUCGCUAGGGACGUUGCGGCGCGCUCCUGCCGUUAAAGACCAUCUUUAACUCAAGGUUGACCUCGGAUCAGGUAGGAAUACCCGCUGAACUUAAGCAUAUCUA